rnacentral:rRNA from 1 species
GGAAAAUCUCGAAAAGAGUAUAUGGCGGAUGCCUAGACUUAAGAAGACGAUGAAGGACGCAGCAGCCUGCGAUAAGCCUCGGUUAGGUGGCAAGCAACCUUUGAGCCGUGGAUUUCCGAAUGGGUAAACCUGUCCCGAUGCAGUCGGGACGACCGUCCCGUGAAUAUAUAGCGGGAUGAGUGGACAACCCGGUGAACUGAAACAUCUUAGUAGCCGGAGGAAAAGAGAGAAAGCCAGAUGUCGGAUUUCGGAAGUCGGAUAUCGGAUAAAUGAUCCGAAAUCCGAAAUCUGAAUUCCGAUAUCUGGAAUAUUCCCUGAGUAGUGGCGAGCGAAAAGGGAUCAGUCUAAACCUAUUAAACCGCGGUUGAGCCAGCUUUUUGGAUUAUAAUAAUUUAUACUUCAAAAUGCUGGUUUGACCUGAAGGAUCUAUGUCCACAUGUUUUUUAGGUGUUGCAAGAUAGCCGCGUUUUCUCCAUAGAUUGAGAAAGGUAAAGAUACAAAUUAUAGUUUUUAGUUGAAAGAGCUGGAAAGCUCUGCCAGAGAAGGUGACAGCCCUGUACGCGAAAUUAACUAUAACUUUACGGCGGCAAUUCUUAAGUACCGCGGGCCUCGUGAAAUCCCGCGGAAAUCCGGGUCGACUAUGACCCAAGACUAAAUACUUCUUAAGAUCGAUAGUGAACUAGUACCGUGAGGGAAAGGUGAAAAGCAUCCCGAUGAGGGAGGUGAAAUAGU